rnacentral:rRNA from 1 species
GAGUUAUCUGAACCUUCGGGGAACGAUAACGGCGUCGAGCGGCGGACGGGUGAGUAAUGCCUGGGAAAUUGCCCUGAUGUGGGGGAUAACCAUUGGAAACGAUGGCUAAUACCGCAUAAUAGCUUCGGCUCAAAGAGGGGGACCUUCGGGCCUCUCGCGUCAGGAUAUGCCCAGGUGGGAUUAGCUAGUUGGUGAGGUAAGGGCUCACCAAGGCGACGAUCCCUAGCUGGUCUGAGAGGAUGAUCAGCCACACUGGAACUGAGACACGGUCCAGACUCCUACGGGAGGCAGCAGUGGGGAAUAUUGCACAAUGGGCGCAAGCCUGAUGCAGCCAUGCCGCGUGUAUGAAGAAGGCCUUCGGGUUGUAAAGUACUUUCAGCAGUGAGGAAGGUGGUGUACUUAAUACGUGCAUCAUUUGACGUUAGCUGCAGAAGAAGCACCGGCUAACUCCGUGCCAGCAGCCGCGGUAAUACGGAGGGUGCGAGCGUUAAUCGGAAUUACUGGGCGUAAAGCGCAUGCAGGUGGUUUGUUAAGUCAGAUGUGAAAGCCCGGGGCUCAACCUCGGAAUUGCAUUUGAAACUGGCAGACUAGAGUACUGUAGAGGGGGGGUAGAAUUU